GUCAGUCACAACGGGAGCUCGGAGCACCGGGCUGAGAGGGCGGCUGCACGCGCCGCCGACCGUCGGAACCUGGCCCGGGUAAUGCCGGCGUAGGGAGCUUCUCACGUGUCGAC
rnacentral:ncRNA from 2 species